rnacentral:rRNA from 1 species
AUUGAACGCUGGCGGCAGGCCUAACACAUGCAAGUCGAGCGUGAAAGGGCUUCGGCCUGAGUAAAGCGGCGGACGGGUGAGUAACGCGUAGGAAUCUACCUGGUAGUGGGGGAUAACGUUCCGAAAGGGACGCUAAUACCGCAUACGUUCCGAGGAAGAAAGCGGGGGAUCGCAAGACCUCGCGCUAUCAGAUGAGCCUGCGUCCGAUUAGCUAGUUGGUGGGGUAAAGGCCUACCAAGGCGACGAUCGGUAACUGGUCUGAGAGGAUGAUCAGUCACACUGGAACUGAGACACGGUCCAGACUCCUACGGGAGGCAGCAGUGGGGAAUAUUGGACAAUGGGCGCAAGCCUGAUCCAGCCAUGCCGCGUGUGUGAAGAAGGCCUCGGUUGUAAGU